rnacentral:rRNA from 1 species
GGUGAAGAGGGGCUUGCUCCUUGGAUCAGUGGCGAACGGGUGAGUAACACGUGAGCAAUCUGCCCUUGACUCUGGGAUAACUGCGGGAAACUGUAGCUAAUACCGGAUAUUACCUUGGAAGGCAUCUUCUGGGGUGGAAAGAAUUUUGGUCAAGGAUGAGCUCGCGGCCUAUCAGCUAGUUGGUGAGGUAAUGGCUCACCAAGGCGACGACGGGUAGCCGGCCUGAGAGGGUGACCGGCCACACUGGGACUGAGACACGGCCCAGACUCCUACGGGAGGCAGCAGUGGGGAAUAUUGCACAAUGGGCGCAAGCCUGAUGCAGCAACGCCGCGUGAGGGACGACGGCCUUCGGGUUGUAAACCUCUUUUAGUAGGGAAGAAGCGACUGGGUUUUCCUGGGAGUGACGGUACCUGCAGAAAAAGCACCGGCUAACUACGUGCCAGCAGCCGCGGUAAUACGUAGGGUGCAAGCGUUGUCCGGAAUUAUUGGGCGUAAAGAGCUCGUAGGCGGUUUGUCGCGUCUGCUGUGAAAACCCGAGGCUCAACCUCGGGCCUGCAGUGGGUACGGGCAGACUAGAGUGCGGUAGGGGAGAUUGGAAUUCCUGGUGUAGCGGUGGAAUGCGCAGAUAUCAGGAGGAACACCAAUGGCGAAGGCAGAUCUCUGGGCCGUAACUGAC